rnacentral:rRNA from 1 species
GACGAACGCUGGCGGCGUGCUUAACACAUGCAAGUCGAACGGAAAGGCCCUGCUUGCCGGGUACUCGAGUGGCGAACGGGUGAGUAACACGUGGGUGAUCUGCCCUGCACUUCGGGAUAAGCCUGGGAAACUGGGUCUAAUACCGGCUAGGAGCCAUUUUUAGUGUGAUGGUUGGAAAGUUUUUUCGGUGUAGGAUGAGCUCGCGGCCUAUCAGCUUGUUGGUGGGGUAAUGGCCUACCAAGGCGGCGACGGGUAGCCGGCCUGAGAGGGUGGACGGCCACAUUGGGACUGAGAUACGGCCCAGACUCCUACGGGAGGCAGCAGUGGGGAAUAUUGCACGAUGGGCGCGAGCCUGAUGCAGCGACGCCGCGUGGGGGAUGACGGCCUUCGGGUUGUAAACUCCUUUCGCUAGGGACGAAGCUUUUUGUGACGGUACCUAGAUAAGAAGCACCGGCUAACUACGUG